AAAUUGAAGAGUUUGAUCAUGGCUCAGAUUGAACGCUGGCGGCAGGCCUAACACAUGCAAGUCGAACGGUAACAGAAAGCAGCUUGCUGCUUUGCUGACGAGUGGCGGACGGGUGAGUAAUGUCUGGGAAACUGCCUGAUGGAGGGGGAUAACUACUGGAAACGGUAGCUAAUACCGCAUAACGUCGCAAGACCAAAGAGGGGGGACCUUCGGGCCUCUUGCCAUCGGAUGUGCCCAGAUGGGAUUAGCUAGUAGGUGGGGUAACGGCUCACCUAGGCGACGAUCCCUAGCUGGUCUGAGAGGAUGACCAGCCACACUGGAACUGAGACACGGUCCAGACUCCUACGGGAGGCAGCAGUGGGGAAUAUUGCACAAUGGGCGCAAGCCUGAUGCAGCCAUGCCGCGUGUAUGAAGAAGGCCUUCGGGUUGUAAAGUACUUUCAGCGGGGAGGAAGGGAGUAAAGUUAAUACCUUUGCUCAUUGACGUUACCCGCAGAAGAAGCACCGGCUAACUCCGUGCCAGCAGCCGCGGUAAUACGGAGGGUGCAAGCGUUAAUCGGAAUUACUGGGCGUAAAGCGCACGCAGGCGGUUUGUUAAGUCAGAUGUGAAAUCCCCGGGCUCAACCUGGGAACUGCAUCUGAUACUGGCAAGCUUGAGUCUCGUAGAGGGGGGUAGAAUUCCAGGUGUAGCGGUGAAAUGCGUAGAGAUCUGGAGGAAUACCGGUGGCGAAGGCGGCCCCCUGGACGAAGACUGACGCUCAGGUGCGAAAGCGUGGGGAGCAAACAGGAUUAGAUACCCUGGUAGUCCACGCCGUAAACGAUGUCGACUUGGAGGUUGUGCCCUUGAGGCGUGGCUUCCGGAGCUAACGCGUUAAGUCGACCGCCUGGGGAGUACGGCCGCAAGGUUAAAACUCAAAUGAAUUGACGGGGGCCCGCACAAGCGGUGGAGCAUGUGGUUUAAUUCGAUGCAACGCGAAGAACCUUACCUGGUCUUGACAUCCACGGAAGUUUUCAGAGAUGAGAAUGUGCCUUCGGGAACCGUGAGACAGGUGCUGCAUGGCUGUCGUCAGCUCGUGUUGUGAAAUGUUGGGUUAAGUCCCGCAACGAGCGCAACCCUUAUCCUUUGUUGCCAGCGGUCCGGCCGGGAACUCAAAGGAGACUGCCAGUGAUAAACUGGAGGAAGGUGGGGAUGACGUCAAGUCAUCAUGGCCCUUACGACCAGGGCUACACACGUGCUACAAUGGCGCAUACAAAGAGAAGCGACCUCGCGAGAGCAAGCGGACCUCAUAAAGUGCGUCGUAGUCCGGAUUGGAGUCUGCAACUCGACUCCAUGAAGUCGGAAUCGCUAGUAAUCGUGGAUCAGAAUGCCACGGUGAAUACGUUCCCGGGCCUUGUACACACCGCCCGUCACACCAUGGGAGUGGGUUGCAAAAGAAGUAGGUAGCUUAACCUUCGGGAGGGCGCUUACCACUUUGUGAUUCAUGACUGGGGUGAAGUCGUAACAAGGUAACCGUAGGGGAACCUGCGGUUGGAUCACCUCCUUA
rnacentral:rRNA from 1 species